AGUACCGAGAACGUAGAGCACAGCAAUGGAAGGUGGCAUCUCCCAAGGGCCAACUGAAGAUGCGUGGCUCCUGUGUGGCUCCUGUCCGUAGCGAUUCCCUUUUCCAGGGUGAGCUCCCUUCUCUGCUCCCUUGUAGCCAACAGUAGCUAUGUGAUCUAGUUCAAGCCAGUAAGACUGAAAGGGAGAUGGAUCUGUAUGCCUCUGGGAAAGUUUUCUUCUGGGAAUUGCUUUCCUGCCCAUCUUCCUUGUGGCUUCCCAAAUGGCUGUUUUCGAACCAGCCAUUCCCUGGCUUUCUGCCCUUAUGUCUGGCUGCGUGAGGAAGAAAAUGCUGGAGACUUUGCAAUCGUCUUAUCACUAUGAUGUCAACCGUCACCACUCUGUAGACGCCAUAUUCAGAGAGAUCAAGGAAGUCCUGGUGACCUGCUGAGCUGCCAAAUCUACCCUUUUGGGACUGUGUGGUCCAGGCACUAUUAUCAAGUGCUGAAGAUACAGGAAUGAACUGAGAGACCCAGUUCCUGUCCUACAAGAAACUGAAAUUUGGAGGAAACUCUUGUGGAGGAAACAGACAUCAAGUAACUUCCCAAAUGGUUAUUUAACCUGUGAUGGGGGUACUGAAUAUAGAGGACUGAACUUGACACACACAACUGUGCCUACCCUUGGGAGCCACUUUCAAGUGCAGAGUGGCAGGAACACAGAGCAGAGGCACUAAACUCAGUCCAGCCUGGCCAGAAAAGACUUGAGGAAGAAGCCAUCCACCUGGAUCCAUGUCACCUGAGUCUUCACUGGCUGCUUCUGUCCCAUCAUCUGAAUGGACCAGGAGUUGAUUCAAUCAAAUCUUUACCAGUGACUUGGGCGGCUCCUGGAUGGGACCACUUCCAGUUUUAGAUAUCGAGGCUGGAGGCUACCUGUCAUAAGCCUAUUUUAGAGAGGCAAAAGCAACAAAGUCUGGCAUGGCCCUCCUGUGAACCACUGAUUGCACAGUUUGCCUUACCCUGGCACAGUGCCAGCCACAGGUUGCCGGAGGAGUAAACAAUGAAUGAUGGAUGAAGACUGAUCAGGGAGACCCCUGAACCUGCUGUAUCGCCAUCACAUUCACCUUUGUAUCUUAUCACCGCAGGCAGCAAUGCUGUGACAGCUGUCCAAAGCCAUUGCCGGAGCUACUGAGUCUCAAGCUCCAAAACAAGCGUUCAUCGGGAUGGUGUGGGGCAAGGUGGUUAGGGACUGGGAGGGACACUGGGAUGAGGGAAAACUUAUUCCAUUCUCUAGCAUCAGAUGAGGUACAGCUACAGUCUUCCAACAAUGACAUUCAAUUCCAUAAACAUUUAUCCCAUUCCUCCCAAGUGCCAGGCAUGGCAUUUGCCUGAGAGGAGUAGAUCGUGUUCUCCGAGGAGGAAGUGACAUUCACACUGCAUGCAAGAUCAUCAGAUCCUGCGGAAUUACUUUACGGGUGCAGCUCCAGUUCUGAUGGGUCUUCCUGAAGAGGUGCUGCCUGCUCUUAAAUCUCAAACCAAGCUGUUCUGGUACGGGCUCCUGCUUGACCCAGCUCCAGCUCAAAUUUGCUGACUCCCAUUGCUCAUAAAACGUCCCUGGGGCUCUUCAGCUGCUCCUUCAAGAAUGAGGGCCCAGAUAUUCUGCUUCCCAGUGCGGAAGGAAAGCCAGUCACUUCCGACUGAUACCAAGCUCUGGGGCUCAGGUAGGAAAGCAUUCGAGCACUUUCCACAAAGAAUGGGGGGCUGUGUAUGGGGUGGCCUUAACUAUGUGAUGCUCCCAGGGGCAAAUAAGAAACACCAACAGGACUGUUGGGCCAUAACUCCAUGGAGCGCUCCACCUAAUUUCACGCUGAAAUCCCUGCUCUCUUCUAGCCCUCUAGUCAAUCCCUGCCCCAACAUCUCAUCUGUUUCCCUCAGUGGAGGUAAAGGAAAUCCUCCCUGUCUCCUGGCCACCCCUCAGUGCUAGUGGCUCACAGGCUGUCAUCAGUCUCUCAGGGCCACUGUGAGGACAGCAGCUAGGCUCACCUCUGACACCAGCCCACAGGGAUGCUGCAGGGACUCCACACCCUCUCUUCCUGACCAGCAAGUCCCAGGACUUCAGGAAUACCACCACCACUCUCACGGCAGGGACAAAAGAAAUGUGAGAAAACAGAGACCAUUCAUUAAGCCUGCUGUUUCCUUCACCUGGGAAAUACUCUGAUCUGGCUGAGGGGCCACAGCAACUGUUAGUGGCAAACACCUAACCCUCUCUUUCAGGUUUUCCAAGCAUUUCCUUGUUACUGAACAAUAAUAACAAUUUCUAUUGAUUAAAUGCCAACUUUGUGCUAAGCAUUUAUGUAUCUUUAUUGAUUCAGUCCUUAUAAAAAUGUCAUAGGUAACAUAGCUAUCUCCGUUUUACAGAUGAGGAAACUGAGGCUUAGGGAGCUAAACCCAGUACUUGACCCGUAUCUCAGAGGGGCAAGAAGCAGAUUUGGGAACAGAGGCAGAGCCUUUUUGUAGCCUCUCCCCCAGCAAAUCCAAGGGAACUCUGUGCUACAGUAAAGGGGAACGUAUAAGUAGCCCACUAUCACGGAGCAGAAGAAAGUGGCCAUCUGUAGCUGGAUAUGGGACAAAGGAGGUAUGUUUUGUUUGGCUUGCAGUGGUUUUGAAUUUGUUUCUUCCUUCCUUCCUUCUUUCUUAAAAAGGAAACAUUGAUAAAUCAGAAGAUUUUUUAUAAAACAUACUGAUUUUUGGCUUCUACUAAAAGACUGAACAUAUGGACCUGCCUUCCUGGAUGAAACCUUUUCCUUCAAGUGGUGAACUCAUGGGUACUUUUUUUUGUCAGCAUAAUAAAUACAAUAGCUAGGAAUUUGAUAGGACCAAUAUCUGGAACAUUUAGUAUGGAACACAUUCAAACUUGUGAAACAGGUCCAGCUUGCUUGCCUCUCUUCAUGUGGCCUCACUGGAGGAUAUCAUACAUCCUAAAGAUCUAUCAAGACACAUGGUCAACACGCAGGUCCUCAGGUGGAACUCUGGCUGCUAUCCAUGUGUGUACUAAGUGCUACUUGAUCAGACACAUGGAGCAACAAUGAUAGUCACCUGGCCUGAGCUGUUGCGAAGGGGCCAGAAGCAAUGGGAAAGUGAACCUCUUGAGCCGGCCAGUGCAGAGGCACUUGGCCACCAAGUGGGACUGGUGCCUUCUGCACCAGCUGGCAAUGACGAAGGAGUCCAAUCUCCAGAUAGUGGAGCAUCUCAGGCCUCAAACCCUAGAUUGCUAACUCAACGUGUCUACUCAGACGUGCUCUAGGUACUGCAGAAUAAAUCACUGGACUCCUGAUUUUCCCUCUCAACCUAUUCAGCCAUACCUAACAUUAUUGCAUACCAAAGACUCUGAGCAAGACACAUUCUUUCCUGUUAAAAGUGAGUUUAGUAAGUGUUAUAAAAGGUGUCAAAGACACUGAUAGUAACACUAAACUUAAGACUUUGUAUUUGUCAUAAUCAGAACUGAAAAAGAAUUUAAAAACCAACUUUUUCACCCCAUGGACUUCAAUGUGUCCUCAUACCACCAGAAAUAAUUAUGGGUGUCAGCAGUGCCCGGCCCAAGAUUUGAGGAGCCCUGAGCGUAUGAUUCUGGAAUCUAGUUCAGCAUCUAACCUGAUUCAAGUAGAGCAGCAAGGCCUGGGAGAGAUGAUUCCCUGUACCAGCCACAGGGAGAGCCUGUCCAGACAGUGACAGCAACACUAAGGCCUCUAGUCUUUAAGUGAGCCAUUAACAGCUUACUAGUAAGUGAGCUUACUAACAGUAAGAUGACAGGGAUUUUGGGAACAUGGAAACCUGAAAGAGUCAAUUGCCUCUAUUCUAUAUACUCAAGCUCAGAGAACUUCUGAGGCCUCAUGGUGGAAGAGCACGCAAGUGGGAAAUAAGGCUGAAAACCUGUGCGGAAAUGUUCCUCUUUUAUUUGGAGACCGGCUUUAGAUACUUUUGGAACAAGGAUCAAAAGUCAUAGACGGGGCUGGGGGUAAGGAUCAGCAGUGGAAUACUUCCUUAGCAUGUGUGAGGUCCUGGAUUCCAAUGCCCAGCACCUCAAAAAAAAAAAAAAAAAAAAAACCCUGAAAGAUAAAUAAGAUCCAAAAUGUACAAUAGAUAUUGUGAAAAUGAAAGGGAAAGAAAGUGCUUGAAAGAAAAGAACUGAGAUAGGGGAACGGAGAAAAGAAAGAAGGGAAAAGAUUACAUAUAUUCAUUGUAAUAUAUGUACUAUAUAUGUACAUUGAUCAUUUUUCAUGCAUAAAUCUUGUAUUCUGAACAACUACUUUGAAAAUAACAAUGUAUUAGGGGCCAGGGAUGUGGCUCACCAGCAUAGUGCCUGCCUGGCAAGCACAAAGUCAUGAGUUUGACUCCUGCCACCAAAACAAACAAACAAACACCCACACAACAAUAUGCAAUAUAUUAACUAAUGUCAAUUUCCGAUUAUUUUGUUUUGAAAUCCUGUAUCAUUUUUAUUCGUUUUUUCUGUUGUCAUUCUGCUUUUAAAAUUAAAAAAAAAAGGAAAAAAAGUCAUAGAAACUAAGACAAGCUUGACCAAGAGGCUGG